AAUGAACGCUGGCGGCGUGCCUAACACAUGCAAGUCGCACGAGAACACCCUGCUUCGGCGGGGUAAGUAAAGUGGCGCACGGGUGAGUAACGCGUGGGCAACCUGCCUCCGGAUCGGGGAUAACACUGCGAAAGCGGUGCUAAUACCGGAUGAUGUCAUAAGAUCUCCGGAUUUUAUGACCAAAGACGGCCUCUGCGUGCAAGCCGUUGUCGGGAGAGGGGGCCCGCGUACCAUUAGCCGGCCGGUGGGGUAACGGCCCACCGGGGCGACGAUGGUUAGCCGGUCUGAGAGGAUGACCGGUCACACCGGAACUGACACACGGUCCGGACUCCUACGGGAGGCAGCAGUGGGGAAUUUUCCGCAAUGGGCGAAAGCCUGACGGAGCAAGACCGCGUGGGGGAGGAAGGUUUUUGGAUCGUAAACCCCUUUUGUCAAGGAAGAAGCUCUGACGGUACUUGACGAAUAAGCCUCGGCUAACUCCGUGCCAGCCGCCGCGGUAAUU
rnacentral:rRNA from 1 species